rnacentral:rRNA from 1 species
UACAGAGGUCUCAAGCGUUGUUCGGAUUCAUUGGGCGUAAAGGGUGUGUAGGUGGCGCGCUAAGUCGGGUGUGAAAUUUCGGAGCUUAACUCCGAAACUGCAUUCGAUACUGGCGUGCUUGAGGACUGGAGAGGAGACUGGAAUUCAUGGUGUAGCAGUAAAAUGCGUAGAGAUCAUGAGGAACACCAAUGGCGAAGGCAGCACUCUGGGACGUGACUGACGCUGAGACGCGAAAGCGUGGGGAGCAAACAGG